rnacentral:rRNA from 1 species
GAUGAACGCUAGCGGGAGGCCUAACACAUGCAAGCCGAGCGGUAUUGUUUCUUCGGAAAUGAGAGAGCGGCGUACGGGUGCGUAACACGUGUGCAACCUGCCUUUAUCUGGGGGAUAGCCUUUCGAAAGGAAGAUUAAUACUCCAUAAUAUAUCGAACGGCAUCGUUUAAUAUUGAAAGCUCCGGCGGAUAGAGAUGGGCACGCGCAAGAUUAGCUAGUUGGUGAGGUAACGGCUCACCAAGGCGAUGAUCUUUAGGGGGCCUGAGAGGGUGAUCCCCCACACUGGUACUGCGACCCGGACCAGACUCCUACGGGAGGCAGCAGUGAGGAGUAUUGGUCAAUGGGUGCAAGCCUGAACCAGCCAUCCCGCGUGAAGGACGACUGCCCUAUGGGUUGUAAACUUCUUUUGUAUAGGGAUAAACCUACCCUCGAGAGGGUAGCUGAAGGUACUAUACGAAUAAGCACCGGCUAACUCCGUG